AUGUCUUCAGGAAAUGCAAAAAUUGGACAUCCUGCUUCCAGUUUCAAACCUACAGCAGUUAUGCCAGAUGGACAAUUCAAAGAUAUGAGCCUAAGUGAUUACAGAAGAAAAUAUGUUGUGUUCUUUUUUUUACCCUCUUGACUUAACUUUUGUGUAUCCCACAGAAAUCAUUGCUUUCAGUAAUAGAACAGAAGAAUUUAAGAAACUCAAAUGCCAAGUGAUUGGAGCUUCUGUGGAUUCUCACUUCUGUCAUCUGUCAUGGAUUAACACACCCAAGAAACAAGAAGGAGUGGGACCCAUGGAACUCCCUUGAUAUCAGAUCCCAAGUGCAUCAUUGGUCAGGAUUAUGGAAUGUUAAAGGCUGAUGAAGGUAUCUCUUUCAGGGGCCUCUUUAUUAAUAAUGAUAAAGGUAUCCUUCGCCAAAUAAUAAACAAUCUUCCUGUUUGCCACUCUGUGGAUGAGAUUCUGAGACUAGUCCAGGCCUUCCAGUUCACUGACAAACAUGGUGAAGUGUGCCCUGCUGGCUGGAAACCUGGCAGUGAUACCACCAAGCCUCACGUCAAUAAGAGCAAAGAGUAUUUCUCUAAGCAGAAGUGAGCACUGGAGCGUUUUUCUGCCAGGCAGCACUGAGCAGCCUGAAGAAAAUGUCUUGUACUCUACUCAUGCUUAAACACACGAUGUGGUGUGUUUCCAGAUAAGCCUUUCCUACAGGGCUAGGCAUGUUAGCUUUUCUUCCACUAUUGGUAAUGGUCUGAGCUGUGUUUUGGGCAGACCAUCUUCUAUCAGUCACAGAAACCAGCCUGUUAAUUCUUUUUUUCUUUUUCUUU